GAAGGGAGCUGCACUGGCAGCUGGUGGGGGAGGCAAUGGGCACCAGCAACCCAGACUCUGAAGCUGGCACAAGAGCAGUACCAUUCCUGGGUUAUAGAUGAGCUAAAUUAGCUGUGAUGCUCAUUAGUAGCAGCUCCUAAUUAGUGAAAAUUAAUAUUGGCUUUGAUAAAGACAUUGGCGCCAGCUCUCCAAGACAGAGGCAUUAUCGACCUUGUCAGCCGGGCUAACAACUGGAAGGGACAACUGAGGCUCAGAGAGGUUGAAGAACUUGCCCUGGGACAUCUGGGUACCAAGAUUUAGGCUCUGGCUGUCUAACUCCAGAGCUACGCUCAUGACCUUGGUAUUAGCCUGCCCCUCCCCUCAGCCCACUCUCAGAAGAGGCGAUCUGGAGGCCAGCACCACAGUACACCAGCAUCUCACGCUGCAUCUGGCACACAGUGGGUGGCCAGAAAGUCCUCAUGAAUGAACAAACAAAUAAACACUGCUCUGAGCUGUAGUGUCUAUCUUCUAUGCCAUGCGCUGGUGAAAGAAGCAACUGGGAUGCUCACCCUGCCGACAGGAAUGCAGAAUGGUGCAACCACUGUGGAAACCACCUCCAGGAGGCUGAGGCGGAGGGAUGGUUUGAGCCCAGGAGUCAGUUCAAUUCCAGCCUGGGUAACACAGUGAGACCUUGUCUAAAACAUUUUAAAAUGUGUGUUUAAAAGGAAAUGUUAAAGUUACAUGUGUAAUUCAGUAAUGCCACUCCUAGGUAUUUUUCCUAAGAGAAACAAAAGUGUUUCCAUACAAAGUACACAAAGUUCGUGAAAGCUUUAUUUGGAAUAGCCAAAACCUGGA